rnacentral:rRNA from 1 species
UGAGGAAUAUUGGGCAAUGCCCGAAAGGGUGACCCAGCAACGCCGCGUGGAGGAUGAAGGUCGUAAGAUUGUAAACUCCUGUUAGAGGGGAAGAAUAACUAAGUUUGGAGCUUAGUAUGACUGUACCCUCAGAGAAAGCCCCGGCUAACUACGUGCCAACAGCCGCGGUAAUACGUAGGGGGCAAGCGUUGUCCGGAUUUACUGGGUGUAAAGGGCGCGCAGGCGGAAUGGAAAGUCAGUGGUGAAAUCCUACAGCUUAACUGUAGAACUGCCUUUGAUACUUUCAUUCUUGGGUUCGGGAGAGAGAGACGGAAUUCCAGGUGUAGUGGUGAAAUACGUAGAUAUCUGGAAGAACACCAGUUGCGAAGGCGGUCUCUUGGUCCGAUACUGACGCUGAGGCGCGAAAGCGUGGGGAGCAAACA